AUUGAACGCUGGCGGCAGGCCUAACACAUGCAAGUCGAACGGUAACAGGAAGAAGCUUGCUUCUUUGCUGACGAGUGGCGGACGGGUGAGUAAUGUCUGGGAAACUGCCUGAUGGAGGGGGAUGACUACUGGAAACGGUAGCUAAUACCGCAUAACGUCGCAAGACCAAAGAGGGGGACCUUCGGGCCUCUUGCCAUCGGAUGUGCCCAGAUGGGAUUAGCUAGUAGGUGGGGUAACGGCUCACCUAGGCGACGAUCCCUAGCUGGUCUGAGAGGAUGACCAGCCACACCGGAACUGAGACACGGUCCAGACUCCUACGGGAGGCAGCAGUGGGGAAUAUUGGACAAUGGGCGGAAGGCUGAUGCAGCCAUGCCGGGUGGAUGAAGGAGGCCUUCGGGUUUGUAAGUACCUUCAGCGGGGAGGAAGGGAGUAAAGUUAAUACCUUUGCUCAUUGACGUUACCCGCAGAAGAAGCACCGGCUAACUCCGUG
rnacentral:rRNA from 1 species